CAUAAGGACCGACCCGACCCGUCUUAGCAAGUAAGGGAGGGGGUAAUACCCCUCCUCUUUCAUUUUUCAUACCAAACACAUACUCUUUCCCUCUCCCCAAAAAAACCCCUAGCCGCCUCCUAGCCAAAAAUGGCAAUGGAUCAGAUGUGCGUAGCUUUUAGCAGGUUGGUUCAACCAAUUUGAGCAAAGAAUUAAACUGCUUACCCACUUUCAACCGCGAUUCAACCACAAACACGGGCCAUUUGGGCCACCUUUCCGCAUCUGAAAACCUGUUGGGCCUGAGGCCCAACUAUUCCUCUUUGAUCAAGUCCGAUGGAAAUAAGGGAAGCAAAUAUUUAUUUGAAGGCCCAACCAUGGGUGAAAAUGGUGAAGGUCCAAUUGUGAGAUUGUAUGUGCUUUAAUUUAAAUACUUAGACAUAAUAUUAAUCCUUAUCCCUUUUUAUGUUUAUGUAAUCCAAUCUCGUGCCAUUUGGGCCACCUUUUUGCGUCUUAAAACCUGUUGGGAAUGAGGCCCAACUAUUCCUCUUUGAUCAAGUCCGAUGGAAAUAAGGGAAGCAAAUAUUUAUUUGAA